rnacentral:ncRNA from 1 species
UCUCCCGCUUCACCUCCCUGAGCGGGUGCCUUGAACAUUUCAAGGUGUUUCCGCCCUCGACCUUCCUCCCCUUUGGUCGAGGGCUUUUAUUU